GGGGAAUAUGUGAUGGGGAUGUACUGGAAGGGAGGUGGCUCACACAAUGCACUGGGGACAUUCUACCUACAAGACAUGCUCACCUCCCCCGACUGGGUGGGGACCACUCACAUGAUCGUUAACCCGUUAAAACCACAUAUUAAGACCCUACAUGACAUGGUAGCUAUAGCCAACCCCACCUUUGAAGACACUAUGGCAGUGGAAACUGGUUUUUCAGACACUAAUUUAUGGCUAGAAUGGAUGAGGUAUAAUGCCAACUCACACAAUAAGACCAAUUGUUACGUGUGUGGGGGAGCCAGGCCCCAUCUGGGCACAGUUCCUCUGAAUUUACCUCCUGAAGUAGAAUCAUGUGUUCUGAGCCUUUACACACAGUCCGUCACCAAUUCCUCGACAUGUGAAUCGUGGAAGAGAAUUUACCCGAUCACUCACGGACAUGUAAAACCACCUGAUGGAGUCACCAUCUACCCAGGUAAUUACACAUGUUAUACAAUAUCUAAGAACACCGGUUUGUAUCUGGGCAAAUUCCCAUCAGGAUAUCGCUCAACUUACCAUAAUCCACCUGUAUCACUGUUAAUGAACCACACAAAGACAAUCGGCGAUAUCUAUUGGUUAUGUGGGGAUAAACAAUUGAGGUCCCAAUUAAUUGGGCAAUGGUGGGGGGAAUGUGCCCUAACCAAAGUCAUAAUGCCUAUCCAUAUCAUUCCAGAUGGUGAUCAUAACACGUUAAACCUCACACAUGCACACUCUAGAAUCAAACGAGAGACUCCUAUUCGAGGGAGUUUCGACCCCCAUGUGUAUAUUGAUGCCAUAGGUGUGCCAAGGGGGGUGCCUAACGAAUUCAAAGCAAGAGAUGAAGUGACUGCGGGAUUUGAGUCCCUAAUUCCAAUGAUAACUGUUAACAAAAAUGUCAAUUGGAUUAACUAUAUUUACUAUAAUCAACAGCGUUUUGUCAACUACACUAGGGAUGCCCUACAGGGCCUGGCAGAGCAACUACAAGCCACUACCCAAAUGACAUUUCAGAACAGAAUGGCCCUAGAUAUGAUUUUAGCUGAGAAAGGGGGUGUAUGUAAAAUCCUCCCUGAGACCAUGACAUGCUGCACAUACAUUCCAGACAACACUGGGCCCAAUGGUAAGGUGACUAUGGCCAUAGAGAAGUUAGAUAGUCUUGCAGACGAGCUAAAGAAAAAUUCAGGAGUCAUCGACACUUGGGACAGAUGGUUUGGAUGGAUGAAUGGUUGGCAAAGGACCCUCUUCCAGGUGGGGACAGCUGUUCUCAUAAUGAUCGUCAUUUUCUUAUUUCUGACCUGUUGCAUAUUCCCCUGCAUACAGAAGUAUCUACAGAAAGCGGUGGACAAGACUAUAGAUGACGUGACCCCUACUUUCAUACACCAAGACAUCACAGACCUCGAAGAUGAUACUCCACAUACACCCCUUCAAUCACAUCAGUUCAAACAAACAACUGCUUU